rnacentral:rRNA from 1 species
CAGUAGCCGCGGGAAUACGAAGGGGGCUAGCGUUGCUCGGAAUUACUGGGCGUAAAGGGAGCGUAGGCGGAUCGUUAAGUUGGGGGUGAAAGCCCGGGGCUCAACCUCGGAACUGCCUUCAAUACUGGCGAUCUUGAGUAUGAGAGAGGUGUGUGGAACUCCGAGUGUAGAGGUGAAAUUCGUAGAUAUUCGGAAGAACACCAGUGGCGAAGGCGACACACUGGCUCAUUACUGACGCUGAGGCUCGAAAGCGUGGGGAGCAAACAGGAUUAGAUACCCGCGUAGUCCCUGUCUCUUAUAC